rnacentral:rRNA from 1 species
UACGGGGGGAGCAAGCGUUGUUCGGAUUUACUGGGCGUAAAGGGCGCGUAGGCGGCCAGCACAAGUCAGUUGUGAAAUCUCCGAGCUUAACUCGGAAAGGUCAGCCGAUACUGCGGGGCUAGAGUGCAGAAGGGGCAACUGGAAUUCUUGGUGUAGCGGUGAAAUGCGUAGAUAUCAAGAGGAACACCUGCGGCGAAGGCGGGUUGCUGGGCCGACACUGACGCUGAGGCGCGAAAGCCAGGGGAGCGAACGGG